GAUGUUUCUCAGUAUGUUUUCCCUUCAUUUGCUUAAAACAAACAACAUUUCAAUUUUCUCUGGCUGCAUCUUUGAGUUUUAUUUUAUGCAGUCAUUUUAAAUUUACUUUGAUAUCUGUCCUUGUAGCUGUAGACUGUGUUCCUGUGUUCUGCAAUCCCAACUGAACCAAACUGCGAGUGGAAGGCCGGUAAAGAAGCACAGCUGCAGUUUUGUGUUUCAGCUCUGUUGUAAAGCACAGGGAUUGCGCUGCAAAGGCACGCGGGAGGGACCACGAUGCCACCUGGACCAGUUUCAGUGUGCCUGAAGGAUCCACCCUCCUCCACCAAAGCUCUUGUGCUGGGAGGGAUGAAUCUGGGUAAUGAGCUCUGUGUCUCAGAUGCGUGCUUCCUCAACAGAAGUAUGCAACUGGUGUUCUGUUGUCAGGGUCCCUGUUUCUAUAGCCGUCAGCAGGGAGGUGGCUCAGGACAUCAUAAGGCCAUGGCAGUGCGACCCUAAGAAUGUCCCAUGACAACCAAAACAUGGCUGUGUUGGGUGAGGGGAGGCUAUGGCCUGACAUUGACCUACUUGUCACAGUGGGAUUCUGCGGGGCUCAAUUUUAAGGUCCUUUCUCUGGAAUGUUUUCACUGUUGAUUCCAAUAAAGAUCCGGCAGUUGUAUUGUAUGGGAACUGCUGAGUCACGGCCUGAACCUCUGAUUGAUCACCUGAGGUGAGCCAUGAGUCAGCCAGAGGAGCACAGCUGAAGGCAAUUCACCCGUGCUGCUGGAAGGGGUGGAGCCAGGCUCCCUGCGCCCUCCUAGACCUAUUUAAGAGCUGGCUGCCAGUGCUGAAGGUUCUCUUCUGGAGAUAGCCUCUGCUGGUGUUUUGUGAGUGAGCCCAGGAUAGGGCUCGGGCCAACUGGGAAUGCAAACCGCACUGACCAAGCAGAGUUGGGGAAGUUGCCAGCAAAUGCAGAAAAAAGGAAAGGAAGGAAGAUGUGGAAAGCAUGAGAGCACAUGAUCUCAGAUCAAUCCUGCAGCCUUUGGAUGGGGUUUAGCUGAAUGAACCAUUGUCAGUGACACCAGGUGGGUACACACCUGAAAACCCACCUACUGGUGCCAUUUUGGGGGUUGGUUCAACACACUGUAGGGUGAGGCACCAGUGAGCAGAUGCAGGUUCCCAUCUGCAUUCAGGUGGAAAGGGGAAAUGUGAGCAUUCACAGUACCUUUCCCUCAAAUGUUAAGAGUGUACAGCCCCAAGGGCUGGUUUUGACUCCAUUAAGGUAAACUUAGUCCUCUAGAGGGCAUGGUUACACAGAUUAUAUAUUUAAUAAUUAACUAGUGUUACCUUGGCUAUCUGUUCACCUUCCUGGUGUAAAUCAGGAGUAAAAGCAUCACUAGUAGUAGAGUUUCAUUAUCAUUAAACCACGUUGUCAGAUUUUCCAUGUAGUCUCUCCUCUUGAGGAGAAUGAUUGCUUGUGGUUCAGAAGCUUUGGGUUUGAUCACUGGGAAAGCUUUCCAAGAAGCAGCUGUAAUUCUGUCAUUGCUACCACAAUCCACUGUGAAAGUCAGUGUAACUCUGUUUUGCCUAUAUUUGUGAUCCUGCUUUGGUUAUUCCUAGCUUCCCUUGAUAGCAGCCUCAGCUCGUCCACCUGGAUAGCAGAGUAACAUUGGGCUGCCCAUGCUAGAACCCAUCCUCAUCAGAAUAUAUGGCAGCUGCAGGCAGUAAAUGGCAAUUACUGAGAUUCAAGGAUUGUGGUGACUGAACUACCUCAGACAAAUUUCAAAACUGUGCAGAUGUAAAUAUAGCCACUAUCUGUCCUGCUGCAUAUGCUUCCCUGAUGUGCAGGCAUUGCAGAGGCUUGAAUCUAGGAACCUGUCAUCCCAAAGAAGAUGCUGCACUACCUGAUCCAAAGACCCACCACCCCCUCUGAGGCAGCACAAGCCAUGCAAAGCCUUUUAAUCUGGAAGUCACAUCUCUGUAGACCUUACGCAAGGCUCACUUGUCUGUCAUGCAAACACCUGCAUUUUAUUCUGUUUUACAAUAUUUAAAUCCCCUUAUAAAAUAAACGGCUACUGGCUGGAACCUUACGCAAGCCGCGUGUCCAAGAUCUGAUGAAUUUAAAAGCUAUUUUCUAAGGUGCAUUGGAGAAACAGAAGGACUGGAAGCAGCCAUCAGCUAACAUUACAGAUAGAGAUGUAUCAGUCUAUUUUUUGUGGCUCCCUUCAGCUCCUGAGUACAUUCCAUAUGCACAACACGCUAAGAUUUCUUUCUUUGGAUCAGUCAUAGUGCCAAACCAAACCAACACCUAGGAACUGCGAAACGUGUUAAUCUGUACUAAUUUGUUAUCAUCACUGAGCUGUGCUGAGCAGUAUCCCUUUACUUCUCCUAUUCUUUAGUUAAACCUGGAAUCCAUCCUUAGCCGUUGCAUCCUACUUGUCUUGUUACAGUCUCAUAUUUUCUCGACUUACUCGGAAAACAUAUCUUGUGUUGCUUUUUUUGAGCUAUUUCUAAUGAUUGAGAAAGUUCUGUUCUUGACAGGUUUAAAAGCUACUGGUGGCCCAUGGGUGAGCCUUCCUUGGGCUAAAUCUGCGCUUCCCAAUUCAACACAGAGCUUCCUGGGAACGAGGUGAUUUGUUGCUUCUCGCAGCUUUGUAGUUGGUGGGUUUGCAGGAGGAAUACAGCCUAGAAGAGAGCCUGGUCCCAGAGAGGUGAUGCUGAUCUGGAGAUCUGACCUUUCUCUGUAAACAGCUUGGAAUGUAUCUUUUACUGAUCCAAACUCAUACACUCUGGAUCAGGUUAAUGAGGCAACUGAAAUAGUAGUUGCUCCUGAAAACCUCAGGCUGGGUUUUAAAGCGUAGGAAAACACCUCUUCAUAGCUUGGGUUUGUGCAUCCACUGUAACCUCCAUUCCCCAUUUUCAGAUCCGA